rnacentral:rRNA from 1 species
AGAAAUCUCACCAGGCCCGGACACUGGAAGGAUUGACAGAUUGAUAGCUCUUCCUUGAUUCAGUGGGUGGUGGUGCAUGGCCGUUCUUAGUUGGUGGAGCGAUCUGUCUGGUUAAUUCCGAUAACGAACGAGACCCCAACCUGCUAACUAGCCCUCGGGUCCUGCUUCUGUUGGGCCCGACGGAAUGAUUCGCUUCUUAGAGGGACUCGCGGCGCCUAGCCGCACGAAGGGGGGCGAUAA